rnacentral:misc_RNA from 1 species
CUCAGGUCUCCAACCUUCAACAAGGAACACUACACCUACGUGAUAUGCAGAGAAAUAUGAAGCUGGUUUGGUCUCCAGAUACAGCUUUAAAUGCUUAUAUUUACACUGUUAAANNNNNNNNAUCUCAAAGAAUCUGGCGUACCUGAGCUCCUCUCCGCCUUGGCUGCCGGCUGGAAUGCCACCCUCAUAGUAGAAUCAUGGUCUCACGGAAGUCCAACGGCC